AACGAACGCUGGCGGCAUGCCUAACACAUGCAAGUCGAACGAGACCUUCGGGUCUAGUGGCGCACGGGUGCGUAACGCGUGGGAACCUGCCCUUAGGUUCGGAAUAACUCCCCGAAAGGGGUGCUAAUACCGGAUAAUGUCUUCGGACCAAAGAUUUAUCGCCUUUGGAUGGGCCCGCGUUGGAUUAGCUAGUUGGUAGGGUAAAAGCCUACCAAGGCGACGAUCCAUAACUGGUCUGAGAGGAUGAUCAGCCACACUGGGACUGGGACACGGCCCAGACUCCUACGGGAGGCAGCAGUGGGGAAUAUUGGACAAUGGGCGAAAGCCUGAUCCAGCAAUGCCGCGUGAGUGAUGAAGGCCUUAGGGUUGUAAAGCUCUUUUACCCGGGAUGAUAAUGACAGUACCGGGAGAAUAAGCUCCGGCUAACUCCGUG
rnacentral:rRNA from 1 species